rnacentral:rRNA from 1 species
GAUGAACGCUGGCGGCGUGCUUAACACAUGCAAGUCGAACGAUGAAGCCCAGCUUGCUGGGUGGAUUAGUGGCGAACGGGUGAGUAACACGUGAGUAACCUGCCCUUAACUCUGGGAUAAGCCUGGGAAACUGGGUCUAAUACCGGAUAGGAGCGCCUACCGCAUGGUGGGUGUUGGAAAGAUUUAUCGGUUUUGGAUGGACUCGCGGCCUAUCAGCUUGUUGGUGAGGUAAUGGCUCACCAAGGCGACGACGGGUAGCCGGCCUGAGAGGGUGACCGGCCACACUGGGACUGAGACACGGCCCAGACUCCUACGGGAGGCAGCAGUGGGGAAUAUUGCACAAUGGGCGAAAGCCUGAUGCAGCGACGCCGCGUGAGGGAAGACGGCCUUCGGGUUGUAAACCUCUUUCAGUAGGGAAGAAGCGAAAGUGACGGUACCUGCAGAAGAAGCACCGGCUAACUACGUG